GGGGCUGGAGAGAUGGCUCAGUGGCUA
rnacentral:piRNA from 1 species